rnacentral:rRNA from 1 species
GACGGGUGAGUAAUGUCUCGGGAAACUGCCUGAUGGAGGGGGAUAACUACUGGAAACGGUAGCUAAUACCGCAUAACGUCGCAAGACCAAAGAGGGGGACCUUCGGGCCUCUUGCCAUCAGAUGUGCCCAGAUGGGAUUAGCUAGUAGGUGGGGUAAUGGCUCACCUAGGCGACGAUCCCUAGCUGGUCUGAGAGGAUGACCAGCCACACUGGAACUGAGACACGGUCCAGACUCCUACGGGAGGCAGCAGUGGGGAAUAUUGCACAAUGGGCGCAAGCCUGAUGCAGCCAUGCCGCGUGUGUGAAGAAGGCCUUCGGGUUGUAAAGCACUUUCAGCGAGGAGGAAGGUGGUGAACUUAAUACGUUCAUCCAUUGACGUUACUCGCAGAAGAAGCACCGGCUAACUCCGUGCCAGCAGCCGCGGUAAUACGGAGGGUGCAAGCGUUAAUCGGAAUUACUGGGCGUAAAGCGCACGCAGGCGGUUUGUUAAGUCAGAUGUGAAAUCCCCGGGCUCAACCUGGGAACUGCAUUUGAUACUGGCAAGCUAGAGUCUCGUAGAGGGGGGUAGAAUUCCAGGUGUAGCGGUGAAAUGCGUAGAGAUCUGGAGGAAUACCGGUGGCGAAGGCGGCCCCCUGGACGAAGACUGACGCUCAGGUGCGAAAGCGUGUGGAGCAAACAGGAUUAGAUACCCUGGUAGUCCACGCUGUAAACGAUGU